rnacentral:misc_RNA from 1 species
GAUGAAGAACGUAGCGAAAUGCGAUACUUGGUGUGAAUUGCAGAAUCCCGUGAACCAUCGAGUCUUUGAACGCAAGUUGCGCCUCAAGCCAUUAGGUUGAGGGCACGUCUGCCUGGGCGUCACAUAUCGUUGCCUGAUGCCAGUUUCCUCGUGAUGGGUGACUGUGCAGGGCGAAUGAUGGCUUCCCGUGAGCAUUGUUGCCUCAUGGUUGGUUGAAAUUGAGUCCUUGGUAGGGAGCGCCGUGAUAGAUGGUGGUUGAGUGACGAACGAGACCCAAUCAUGUGAGACCCCUACCGAAUUUGGCCUUCAUGACCCACAUGCGUCUUUGGAACGCUCAUGACGAGACCUCAGGUCAGGCGGGGCUACCCGCUGAGUUUAAGCAUAUCAAUAAGCGGAGGA